rnacentral:rRNA from 1 species
GACGUAGGGGGCAAGCGUUGUUCGGAAUUAUUGGGCCUAAAGCAUCCGUAGCCGGUUCUACAAGUCUUCCGUUAAAUCCACCUGCUCAACAGAUGGGCUGCGGAAGAUACUAUGGAGCUAGGAGGCGGGAGAGGCAAGCGGUACUCGAUGGGUAGGGGUAAAAUCCGUUGAUCCAUUGAAGACCACCAGUGGCGAAGGCGGCUUGCCAGAACGCGCUCGACGGUGAGGGAUGAAAGCUGGGGGAGCAAACCGG